GCCGGUGUAGCUCAGCUGGUAGAGCAACGCACUCGUAAUGCGUAGGUCGGUGGUUCGAGUCCACUCGCCGGCACCA
rnacentral:tRNA from 2 species